GAUGAACGCUGGCGGCGUGCUUAACACAUGCAAGUCGAACGAGAAGUGGAGACGGAAACCUUCGGGCGGAAGACUUUACUUCGAGUGGCGGACGGGUGAGUAACGCGUGGGUAACCUGCCUCAUACAGGGGGAUAACAGUUGGAAACGACUGUUAAUACCGCAUAAGACCACAGCACCGCAUGGUGCGGGGGUAAAAACUCCGGUGGUAUGAGAUGGACCCGCGUUCGAUUAGCCAGUUGGCGGGGUAACGGCCCACCAAAGCGACGAUCGAUAGCCGAUCUGAGAGGAUGACCGGCCACACUGGGACUGAGACACGGCCCAAACUCCUACGGGAGGCAGCAGUGGGGAAUAUUGCACAAUGGGGGAAACCCUGAUGCAGCGACGACGCGUGAGUGAAGAAGUAUUUCGGUAUGUAAAGCUCUAUCAGCAGGGAAGAAAAUGACAGUACCUGAGUAAGAAGCCCCGGCUAACUACGUG
rnacentral:rRNA from 1 species